AGAGUUUGAUCCUGGCUCAGGACGAACGCUGGCGGCGUGCUUAACACAUGCAAGUCAAGGGGGUCCAGCAAUGGGCAACCGGCGAACGGGUGCGUAACACGUGAGCAACCUGCCGAUCUGCGGGGGAUAGCCGGGCUAACGCCCGGGUAAUACCGCAUACGGUUCUCCGGGGGGGUCCCUGGGGAAGGAAACCUUUCGAGGGCGGAUCGAGGGGCUCGCGGCCUAUCAGCUAGUUGGGGGGGUAAUGGCCCACCAAGGCGACGACGGGUAGCUGGUCUGAGAGGAUGGCCAGCCACAUUGGGACUGAGAGACGGCCCAGACUCCUACGGGAGGCAGCAGUGGGGAAUCUUGCGCAAUGGUCUAACGACUGACGCAGCGACGCCGCGUGUGGGAGGACGCCUUUCGGGGUGUAAACCACUGUUGCCCGGGACGAACAGCCGCUUUCGAGUGGCCUGACGGUACCGGGUGAGGAAGCACCGGCUAACUCCGUGCCAGCAGCCGCGGUAAUUC
rnacentral:rRNA from 1 species